rnacentral:rRNA from 1 species
UACGUAGGGUGCAAGCGUUAAUCGGAAUUACUGGGCGUAAAGCGUGCGCAGGCGGUUUUGUAAGUCUGAUGUGAAAUCCCCGGGCUCAACCUGGGAAUUGCAUUGGAGACUGCAAGGCUAGAAUCUGGCAGAGGGGGUGAGAAUUCCACGUGUGAGCAGUUGAAAUGCGUAGAGAUGUGGAGGAACACCGAUGGCGAAGGCAGCCCCCUGGGUCAAGAUUGACGCUCAUGCACGAAAGCGUGGGGAGCAAACAGGG